rnacentral:rRNA from 1 species
CCUACGGGGGGCAGUGGGGAAUAUUGGACAAUGGGGGCAACCCUGAUCCAGCCAUGCCGCGUGUGUGAAGAAGGCCCUCGGGUUGUAAAGCACUUUCAGUGAGGAAGAACGCCUGGUGGUUAAUACCCAUCAGGAAAGACAUCACUCACAGAAGAAGCACCGGCUAACUCCGUGCCAGCAGCCGCGGUAAUACGGAGGGUGCGAGCGUUAAUCGGAAUUACUGGGCGUAAAGCGCGCGUAGGUGGCUUGAUAAGCCGGUUGUGAAAGCCCCGGGCUCAACCUGGGAACGGCAUCCGGAACUGUCAAGCUAGAGUGCAGGAGAGGAAGGUAGAAUUCCCGGUGUAGCGGUGAAAUGCGUAGAGAUCGGGAGGAAUACCAGUGGCGAAGGCGGCCUUCUGGACUGACACUGACACUGAGGUGCGAAAGCGUGGGUAGCAAACAGGAUUAGAUACCCUGGUAGUC